rnacentral:rRNA from 1 species
GUCCUACCUAGGCCGACAGGCCCGGGUAAUCUUGUCAAAGUCCGUCGUGAUGGGGAUAGACUCUUGUAAUUUUUAGUCUUGAACGAGGAAUUCCUAGUAAGCGCAAGUCAACAACUUGCGUUGAUUACGUCCCUGCCCUUUGUACAC